rnacentral:rRNA from 1 species
AUUGAACGCUGGCGGCAUGCCUUACACAUGCAAGUCGAACGGCAGCACGGGUGCUUGCACCUGGUGGCGAGUGGCGAACUGGUGAGUAAUACAUCGGAACGUACCUUAUCGUGGGGGAUAACGCAGCGAAAGCUGUGCUAAUACCGCAUACGCCCUGAGGGGGAAAGCGGGGGAUCGCAGGACCUCGCGCGAUUAGAGCGGCCGAUGCCUGAUUAGCUAGUUGGUGGGGUAAAAGCCCACCAAGGCGACGAUCAGUAGCUGGUCUGAGAGGACGAUCAGCCACACUGGGACUGAGACACGGCCCAGACUCCUACGGGAGGCAGCAGUGGGGAAUUUUGGACAAUGGGGGCAACCCUGAUCCAGCAAUGCCGCGUGAGUGAAGAAGGCCUUCGGGUUGUAAAGCUCUUUUGUCAGGGAAGAAACACCGGCUCUAACACAGUCCGGGAAUGACGGUACCUGAAGAAUAAGCACCGGCUAACUACGUGCCAGCCGCCGCCGUAA